CAGACCGUUCUGGGCUGCCUCA
rnacentral:miRNA from 3 species